rnacentral:rRNA from 1 species
CCUACGGGGGGCUGCAGUGGGGAAUAUUGGACAAUGGGGGGAACCCUGAUCCAGCCAUGCCGCGUGUGUGAAGAAGGCCCUCGGGUUGUAAAGCACUUUCAGUGAGGAAGAACGCCUGGUGGUUAAUACCCUUCAGGAAAGACAUCACUCACAGAAGAAGCACCGGCUAACUCCGUGCCAGCAGCCGCGGUAAUACGGAGGGUGCGAGCGUUAAUCGGAAUUACUGGGCGUAAAGCGCGCGUAGGUGGCUUGAUAAGCCGGUUGUGAAAGCCCCGGGCUCAACCUGGGAACGGCAUCCGGAACUGUCAAGCUAGAGUGCAGGAGAGGAAGGUAGAAUUCCCGGUGUAGCGGUGAAAUGCGUAGAGAUCGGGAGGAAUACCAGUGGCGAAGGCGGCCUUCUGGACUGACACUGACACUGAGGUGCGAAAGCGUGGGUAGCAAACAGGAUUAGAUACCCUUGUAGUC